rnacentral:lncRNA from 1 species
UGUAAUGGAAAAUUAUAGACAUUCUUUCAUAAGACAGUUUACUUAAUAACACCAAUAAUAUCAACAAACCUUUUCAGGAAUUAGUUUUUGGAAGACUUUUUGUCCAUAUUAAUGAACUCCACUAUGUGAUCUCUUUCUUACAGUUGAUAUGUUUCAUCAAGUAUCCUUUCUACUUUGCUUAUCUUAACAGAAUAAGAAUCAAUCAAAAAGAGAAGAAGUUAGAUAGAUAGAUACACACGCUAUCUUUACACACAACAUACAGCAGAAUAUAACAAAACACACAUAACAUAACACAUAAUGUUGAGAGAGAGACAUUUAUCACACAAAAAUCAAAGAAUACAUGCACGCAUAUCAUACCUAAACACACAAAAUUGCUAUAGAGAAAGCAACAUCACUUGCCUAUCACAACAAGCAGAAAGUAGAGAGUAUAGUGUUGUUCUUGAGAAGAGUAUACAAGCAAUACAUUCAUCUUCCUUUGUGAUGGAAAGUCCAUUCGGCGUACAUCACUAUGAGAAUGUUAAGGAGGAAGGGGAUUUCUAGGAAUUUCUAAGAAUUUCGAAGAAAUGAUUGAGAAAGGGAAUCUCCUUCAACGAGAGAGAACUCUGAAUUGUUAUUGAGACUUUGAGAAGAAGGUUACAAGAGAGAAGGAUUCUGUUUUUCAGAUUAUGAACCCAAUUUCUGAAAAACAGUUACCUUACUAUUUAUAGCAUUCCUAACUGUUUUAACUGAAACAGUUUUACUAAAAAAGGAAAGUUGCAACAACUAGCUAAAAAAGGCAAUUGAUACAAGUAAAUGAUUAAGAGUACAGAGAUUACAAAGAUCCCUAUCAAUAUCCCCCCUCAAACAAACCUUGACCUCAAGGUUUAAAAAACGAAAAUUUUUUUCUGUAAAUCAAAAAGGAAUUCCCAGGUUGCCUCUUCAUCUAGUUGAUGCUUCCAUUUAACCAGAACCUUAGUAACAGCGUGACCUCUUCUUUUCACUGUCAUACGGUCUAUGAUGUACUCAGGUUCUUUGCCUCGUGCCACUGCAUCUGAGAAUGGGGGAAGCUGAAUUGAAGAAGGAACUGAACCAAUGUGUCUUUUAAGCUGGGACACGUGAAAAACAUGGUGGAUUGAUGAAGAAGGAGGAAGAGCCAAUUUAUAAGCCACCAUACCCACCUUGUCAAUGACCAAAUAGGGUCUAAAAAAUUUAGGAGCCAACUUAGCAUUACUCCUAUUAGCCACUGAAAUUUGCCUGUAGGGAUGCAAUUUAACAUAAACCAUAUCCCCAAUUUCAAAUUGCCUAUCCUGCCUGCUUCUGUCAGCAAACUGCUUCAUACGGUGUUGAGCCCUUCUCAAAUGGAAUUUAAGCACCCGUAGCAUUUCUUCCCUCUUGCUUAGACUACGAUCCACCAAUUCCACUGCUGAAUUUCCAGGAAGAUAAGGGGUUGCCUGGAUUGAAGUGUGGAAUGUAGAAUUAUACCACCAUUCUGCCAAUGCUAACCAUUUAAACCAUUGAUGUGGUGAAUCUGAGCACAUACAUCGCAAAUAAGUUUCCAAACAGCGAUUAACCACUUCUGUUUGACCAUCAGUUUGGGGAUGAUAAGAUGAAGAAAGCUGCAGUUGAACUCCUUGCAAGGCAAAUAAUUCUUGCCAAAAACUGCUUACAAAAAUAGGGUCCCUAUCACUUGUGAUGGAAGCAGGGUAGCCAUGGAGCUUAAACACAUUAUCCAGAAAACAUUGUGCCACAUUUACAGCAAUAUAUGGGUGAGCUAAAGCCAUGAAGUGAGCUGCUUUACUCAACCUAUCAACUACUACAAGAAUGACUUGCUUCCCUGAUGACAAUGGUAAACCUUCAAUGAAAUCCAUGGUAAGAUGUUGCCAUACAUGAUCUGGAAUUGGCAGAGGUUGCAGAAGACCAGGGUAGGGUGUUGUUUGAUAUUUGCACGUUUGACAGGUUGGGCACCUCAUAACAAAAUCCUUAACAUCCCUAUUCAAGCCUCUCCAUAAACCACUGAUUUCACUCUUUUAAUUGUGGCAUGCCUUCCUGAAUGACCCCCUGUUGCAGUGGUAUGUAACCAUUGUAAAAUAUCAUGCCUGAGUUGUAGGUUGUUGCCAAUCACCAACCUCCCCUUCCUACGAAGUUCACCAUUAACCCAACUAUAAUGCUUGUGAGAAGAUGGUUGUUGCUGAAUCUGGAUUCUGAUGUUGCUCAAUGCUGAAUCUGAAUCCCAAGAAGCAAUGAUUCUGUCCAACAAAACAGGCUCAAUAGUAUGAACUAGCAAGGCAAAGCAAGCAUUCCUUCUUGACAAGGCAUUUGCAGCAAUAUUUUCCUUGCCCUGCUUAUACUCAAUUUCAAAAUCAAAUUCCAGCAAUUUGACUAACCAUUUCUGUUGGAAGGAUGUUGCCAAUUUCUGAUCCAACAUGUACUUUAAACUGAUGUGAUCAGUUUUGAUUACAAAAUGUCUACUAAGCAAGUAGUGCCUCCACUUUUGAACAACAAAGACCACUGCCAUAAGCUCCUUCUCAUAGGUAGAAGCUGAUUGUUGCUGUUGGUUAAGGACCCUGCUCACAUAUGCUAUAGGAUGGUGAUUCUGCAUCAAAACAGCCCCCAAGCCAACCCAUGAAGCAUCUACUUCUAGCACAAAUGUCUUAGAGAAAUCAGGAAGAGCCAAAACUGGUGCAGUGCUCAAUAAAUGUUUCAAGUGCAGAAAAGAGUCCUUAGCCUCAACUGUCCAACAAAAAUUGUUUUUCUUGAGUAAUUCUGUUAAGGGUUUAGCCACUCCUCCAAAGCCUUUAACAAAUCUCCUAUAAUAGCCAGCUAGCCCCAAAAAUCCCCUUAAUUGUUUAAGUGUUUGAGGUAAGGGCCAAUCCUUGACAGCUGAAAUUUUUGAUGGGUCAGUGGACACCCCCUGAGCAGAAAUAAAGUGUCCCAAGUACUCAACCCUGUCCACCCCAAAGUAGCAUUUGGAUUUCUUGGCAAACAAUGCAUGACUCUUCAUCAACUGCAGAACUCUUUUAAGGUGAGCCACAUGCUCCUCUAAAGACUUGCUAUAAAUGAGGAUAUCUUCAAAGAAAACUAACAAGAACUUCCUAAGAAAUUCACUGAAAAUGGCAUUCAUAAGGCCUUGGAAUGUUGUUGGAGCAUUUGUUAAACCAAAGGGCAUUACCAAGUAUUCAUAGUGACCCCUGUGUGUUCUGAAUGCAGUUUUGUAGAUAUCUGAGGUUUCCAUUCUUACCUGAUGGUAGCCAGCUCGUAGGUCCAACUUGGAGAAAAUAGUGGAGCCAUGUAAUUCAUCCAUAAGGUCCUCUACCAAGGGAAUGGGAAAUCUUUCUUUGAUAGUCCCUUUGUUUAAGCCUCUAUAAUCUACACAAAGUCUCCAGGUGCCAUCUUUCUUACCCACCAAAACUACAGGACUAGCAUAAGGGCUAUUGUUGUUUUGAAUGAUGCUUGAAUCAAGCAUUUCUUGCACCAAUUUCUCAAUAAUAUCCUUCUGAUGCUUGGCAUACCUGUAGGGUCUCAUGUUGACAGGAUUGGUGCCUUGCAGUAGGGGAAUUUGGUGAUUGUGGCCCUCCCUAAGUGGGGGUAGAUGAACAGGUUCUUCAAAAAUGUCCCCAAAUUCGUCAAGUAACUGAGCAAUUGCAGUAGGAAUCGCAGGUUGCUCUCCAUGAGUAGUCAAGGAUUGUAGCAACCCUUGUUCUGUAUUGCAGAUUUGCAGCAUAGACAGUUGCACCCCUUGAUUCAAAACUUUGUCAAGCUUUUGAGAUUUUAAUGUCUUGACAGCAUUUGUGGAUGCUCCCCUCAAGACAUGUCUCCUACCUUGUGUGGUGAACUCCAUUUUCAGUUUGUCAAAAUUCCAAGUAAUGUCCCCUAAGGUGACCAACCAUUCAAUACCCAGCACCAUGUCACAACACCCCAAGGGAAUGAGCAUCACAUCAGAACUGAAAGUUGUGUGUUGAAUUGUCCAAGCAAAAUCUCGUACUCCAGCUGAUAUUUGGAGCUUGUUUCCAUCUGCCACAGUGACCAUCAGGGGUGUGAGUUGAUCAAUCUUGAAAGCUAGUGUGUGAGCCUUUUGGAUGUCUAGGAAGUUGUGAGUGCUUCCACUGUCGAUGAGUAUGUGCAUGGGCCUUUUAUUAUAAUGACCUGUGAUCCUCAUGGUUCUAAAGCAAGGCAUACCAGUAAGUGCAUUAACAGAAAUAGUUGGUUCCCCAUAAUUCUGGCUUGGCAGUGUUACCUCUUCUCCAAUAUCCUCAUCUUCCCCUCCAUCUUCCAUCUCUAAGACAUGUAGUUGAAGCUUUUUAUGUGCCAAGCUAUGUUCAGGAGUGUAAGGCAUAUCACAGAAGUAACAUAGACCUUUGGCAUGCCUCUCAUUCAUAUAGGCAGGGGUUAAAUUCUUAGUAGUUGCAGGUUUAGGCUUGAGAGGCUCAACCUGCUGGUCAGUGUGCAAGGGUGGUUUAGCAGGUAUAAUUAGCUUAGCAUUAGAAGUAGGUUUACUCCAUUUAGGUGGGAACUUGAACACGGUUGAUUGAUUAUGUGCACAUUCAUAUAGCUUUGCUAAGGCAAAGGCUUUUCGAACAGAUUUAGGUUGGAACAUAUGCACCAUCAUCUGCAUUUCUUGCUUUAGACCUCCUAAGAAGCAACUCAGCGUAUAUUCCUCAGAUAGUUCCAACCUUGUGAUGAUGCCAUCAAAUUCCUCAUGGUAAUCCGCCACUGUGCCCUUCUGUCUAAGAUUCAUAAACUCCACCAUAGGAUCCUCACAUACCUCUCCAAAUCGUUCUAUGAUGAUUUGCACAUAUUCACUCCAACUUGGCCAAGAACUGGACCACAAAUUCUUGACGAAGGCGUGGUGCCAUUGCAAUGCUCUGCCCUCGAAAUGAACCACUGCCAGCUUUACCUUGAAUUCUUCAGGUGUGCCAUUAAUUAAGAAGUAAGUUUCACACUGAUAGAGCCAUUGACGUACGUUAUCACCAUUAAAAUGGGGGAAAUCAAUUCUGGAUAAUCUUGUGCCACAUGAGUAAUUAGAGUUGGUUUGUCUCUCACCAAGAAUUGAAGGUCUAGGCCGUGCAGAUUCUUCUCCACUAUCUUGCCUGGAUUUGAACAAGUCUUCUACUGUCACUUUGAGAGAUUCACUCAACGACUUCUGAAGUGCUCCUGCCAAGUCCAUGAUUUUCGAUUCAAUCUUUGCUACAAGUUUGCUUUCUAAGCGUUCUUCGACUUCCCGCAUGGAUGAUUGACUCCUUGUUGAUUCUGCCAUGGAAGCGUGUUGUGUGCCAAGGAAGGAUGAAAUCUGAUACCAAUUGUUAAGGAGGAAGGGGAUUUCUAGGAAUUUCUAAGAAUUUCGAAGAAAUGAUUGAGAAAGGGAAUCUCCUUCAACGAGAGAGAACUCCGAAUUGUUAUUGAGACUUUGAGAAGAAGAUUACAAGAGAGAAGGAUUCUGUUUUUCAUAUUAUGAACCCAAUUUCUGAAAAACAGUUACCUUACUAUUUAUAGCAUUCCUAACUGUUUUAACUGAAACAGUUUUACUAAAAAAGGAAAGUUGCAACAACUAGCUAAAAAAGGCAAUUGAUACAAGUAAAUGAUUAAGAGUACAGAGAUUACAAAGAUCCCUAUCAGAGAAGGAGAAGCUAAGAACAAGAAAAUGAAAAAUGGAGGAAAGGAAAUUGGAGAAGAUGAUUGCCCUUCCUCCGAGCAGCCACCGCAAACCACUAUGAACAACUAUGUGGUCGCCGUUGGAGAAGGAGAACCCGCCACCAAAGAAGAGAAGAAAGGAGAACACAGCCUAGUAGCUGUGUUGUAUAGAAGAGAGACUUCGCUCAUCACUGUUUUCGCCUAAACGGCCAGCCUCCACGCUUUGAAUCGCCGCCGCGGCUUGAGAAAGGGAAGAAGAUGAAGGUUAUGGAUUCUGUUCCUCUCCUGGUUUCCAUCGUGAAAAGGGGGGAACCAACUUAACCCUUUCCUUUUUUUUAUUCAUUUAGUCUC